UACGGGGGGGGCAAGCGUUGUUCGGAAUUACUGGGCGUAAAGGGCUCGUAGGCGGCCAACUAAGUCAGACGUGAAAUCCCCAGGCUCAACCUGGGAACUGCGUCUUAUACUGGAUGGCUUGAAUCCGGGAGAGGGAUGCAGAAUUCCAGGUGUAGCGGUGAAAUGCGUAGAUAUCUGGAGGAAUACCGGUGGCGAAGGCGGCAUCCUGGACCGGCAUUGACGCUGAGGAGCGAAAGCCAGGGGAGCAAACGGG
rnacentral:rRNA from 1 species